rnacentral:rRNA from 1 species
ACGUAGGGUGCAAGCGUUAAUCGGAAUUACUGGGCGUAAAGCGUGCGCAGGCGGUGAUGUAAGACAGGUGUGAAAUCCCCGGGCUUAACCUGGGAAUGGCGAUGGAGACUGCGAGGCUAGAGUUUGGCAGAGGGGGGUGGAAUUCCACGUGUAGCAGUGAAAUGCGUAGAGAUGUGGAGGAACACCGAUGGCGAAGGCAGCCCCCUGGGUCAAAACUGACGCUCAUGCACGAAAGCGUGGGGAGCAAACAGGA